GAAGACAGUGCCUUCCAUUGCUGAUACAUUGGAGCUCUCGGGUUCGGAAGAUGGAGGAGGAUCGGGUGGAGAUGAUGAGGAUGGUCUUGAGGACGACGUUGAGAUCGACAUCAGCAACCUCGAUCCUCCUCUCGGCCACAUUGGAUGACUUCCCCACCCCGAUCCUUUGUAAUUUUUUGUUUAAUUUUGACAAUGUAGAUUGGUCGAGGACUAUGUAUGUUUAGUUAAUUUAUUCAAACUAUUUAUCUCGACCUCUUGGACUCCAUACAAUCGAGCAAUCAAAUUCGAAACUUUACUGUUCGCGCGAUAUUGAAGUGUUUACUCGAGGAUUACAGCUCGCGCGAUAUUGAAGUGUUUACUCGAGGAUUCCACAACUCGAGCGUAUUUAAGGGAUUAAAAGGUGAGACGUACAUUCUCGAGCAACAAUAAAAAUAUGAUGAUGUGACAUUCUUGAAGACUGUAAACCUCGAGAACAAUUAGUCUUAAAGAUUAAAAAUUGAGUGACCUUCUCGAGGACUGUAAUCCUCGAGCACAACUAGCUUCAAAAAGUUGUAAUGUGACAUCCUCGAGCACAACUGGACUUUGAAUUGUGACAUUCUCGAGGACUGUGAACCUCGAGAAUAAUUAGUCUUAAAGAUUAAGGCAUUCUCGAGGACCGUAGUCCCGAGCACAACCAACUUUAAAAAUUGAGUGACAUUCUCGAGGACUGUAAUCCUCGAGCACAACUAACUUAAAAAAGUUGUAAAGUGAC
rnacentral:lncRNA from 1 species